AACACAAAAAGCCCAACAGUAUCCAGAAAUGUAAACUGAGCAAGGAAGAACAACAGGAGAUACAGCUACAAUGAAUCUAGGCUUUGUUCUCUAACAAGGGUGGACCCUGUCAAUCAUAUAAGAAAGGAGAUCCUGCCUGAGCUACAAGGCUGAACAAAAGGAAGCAAAAACCCACCAUCCGGACAUAGAAGCCAACACUUGAGUCAAAGUCUUUUCAGGGAAUUGGACAGUAUCUGAGUGGCUAUAUAUGUGGUUGUCUUCAAUCCAGAGCCUCCUUAUGUCUUUUGUUUUGUUGCAAUGCGGACAUCUCUUACAGCAAAAUCAUAGGGUAUCAUGGACAUAAAGAUCCUAAAAAUGAGAUUCUCCUAAAUACAUUAUAUGAGGACAAAAAUUUUAAAACAUCACCGUGAUCUCACAGAGAAAAUCACAUUUCUGAGAAACCAAAAUGAAUAAUAUCUUGGAACAAUUUCAAAACACCAAGUUACCAACUGCUGGCAGCCGAGGCCCAGCAAGUCAACCACCUGACAGUGAUUAUGGAGAGACAAUGACAACACUCUACCACAAAUCA
ensembl:lncRNA novel transcript, antisense to AKAP13